GCCUGAAUAGCACAAUUGGCAGUGCAACUGCUCGGUAAGCAGUAGGUUGUAGGUUCGAGUCCUGCUUUGGGCA
rnacentral:tRNA from 1 species